rnacentral:rRNA from 1 species
UGGGGAAUAUUGCACAAUGGGCGCAAGCCUGAUGCAGCCAUGCCGCGUGUAUGAAGAAGGCCUUCGGGUUGUAAAGUACUUUCAGCGAGGAGGAAGGCGUUGUGGUUAAUAACCGCAGCGAUUGACGUUACUCGCAGAAGAAGCACCGGCUAACUCCGUGCCAGCAGCCGCGGUAAUACGGAGGGUGCAAGCGUUAAUCGGAAUUACUGGGCGUAAAGCGCACGCAGGCGGUCUGUCAAGUCGGAUGUGAAAUCCCCGGGCUCAACCUGGGAACUGCAUCCGAAACUGGCAGGCUAGAGUCUUGCAGAGGGGGGUAGAAUUCCAGGUGUAGCGGUGAAAUGCGUAGAGAUCUGGAGGAAUACCGGUGGCGAAGGCGGCCCCCUGGACAAAGACUGACGCUCAGGUGCGAAAGCGUGGGGAGCAAACA